rnacentral:rRNA from 1 species
UGGGGAAUCUUGCGCAAUGGGCGAAAGCCUGACGCAGCGACGCCGCGUGAGUGAUGAAGGCCUUCGGGUUGUAAAGCUCUGUGGGGAGAGAAGAAUAAGUGCGGGCUAAUACUCCGCAUGAUGACGGUAUCUCCUUAGCAAGCACCGGCUAACUCUGUGCCAGCAGCCGCGGUAAGACAGAGGGUGCAAACGUUGUUCGGAAUUACUGGGCGUAAAGCGAGUGUAGGCGGUUUGGUAAGUCGGAUGUGAAAGCCCCGGGCUCAACCCGGGAAGUGCACUCGAUACUGCCAAGCUAGAGUAUCGGAGAGGUUGGUGGAAUUCUCGGUGUAGAGGUGAAAUUCGUAGAUAUCGAGAGGAACACCGGUGGCGAAGGCGGCCAACUGGACGAAUACUGACGCUGAGACUCGAAAGCGUGGGGAGCAAACAGGAUUAGAUACCCCCGUAGUCC